rnacentral:rRNA from 1 species
CCCUUAGAUGUCCUGGGCCGCACGCGUGCUACACUGACGCAUACAGCGAGCACUUUCCAGUUCCGAGAGGCUACUGGUAAUCAUCAAUAUGCGUCGUGAUGGGGAUAGAUCUUUGGAAUUCUGGAUCUUGAACGAGGAAUGCCUAGUAAUCGCAGGUCAUUAGCCUGCGAUGAUUAAGUCCCUGCCCUUUGUACACACCGCCCGUCGCUACUACCGAUUUCGAGUGGUCAGGUGAAUCUUUCGGACUGUGGGCGCCCUUGAGGUGUUCGCGGAAAGUCAGGUAAAUCUGAUCACUUAGAGGAAGUAAAAGUCGUAACA